rnacentral:rRNA from 1 species
UACAGAGGUCUCAAGCGUUGUUCGGAUUCAUUGGGCGUAAAGGGCUCGUAGGCGGUUUGUCGCGUCGGGAGUGAAAACACGGGGCUUAACCCCGUGCCUGCUUCCGAUACGGGCAGACUAGAGGUAUGCAGGGGAGAACGGAAUUCCUGGUGUAGCGGUGAAAUGCGCAGAUAUCAGGAGGAACACCGGUGGCGAAGGCGGUUCUCUGGGCAUUACCUGACGCUGAGGAGCGAAAGUGUGGGGAGCGAACAGG